UUUCCAUCUUGAAAGCAUUGGAUGAUUCCUGUUGUUGGGGCUCUGACUUGAGAGGAAAAGCUUAGGGAGUUUGACAGAGUUCCAGGAAGGCUUCCUGUAAGAGGUGGCAUGAUGGUACUGUUAAUAAUUAUAACCAUUUGCUGUAUCACAUGUACCACAUGCCAGUCACUGUGUUACCUACAUACAUCAGCGAUGCCACUUCUUGCCAAGUCAUCCUUACAUCUCCUUGUGUGUGGAGUCCAGUUCUACUCACAGACAGCUCUUGCUAAAGAGCCGAGCAAGGAGUAACUGUGCAGCAGAUCUUUCACUUUAGGGCACAGUACCGACCCAAGGCCAGUCCCACUAUCUGUGAGUGAGUGGCCCAGCUUUAGUAGAUGAGGUGGACCAAUCCGAUCAGCUCUCCUUGGGAAUGUGAAAUAAGAGAUGCAGAGGGAUGUUGCCAGUUAGUUGUGGGGAGCUAAGCUGAGAGGUCCAGUACACCAAGAUGCUGGUUGGGUUGGGAGUGCUAUGGACUAGGUCAAGUGCCUGUUGAACAGCUAAAUGUAGUUGGCCAAGCAAGGACAUGGGGCAGUUGUGCAGAGAGAAGCAGGCUUGUGACGUGGAUGAGCCAUAUGAACGACAGACCUCUAGAGCAGAGAGGUUCAUGCUACAGCUAGACAUUUCCUCAAGCUCCAGGUACAAUGAGCUCUAUUUGAAUUCCUACCCUUGGAUUUCUGCUUCCUGAUCUUGCUUCAUUUGGUUUCUGUUUCUUGCAUCCAAAAGAGGCCCAACCCAAGCAACCCUUUCCAUAGAUUCCAUUUAAUUUGUGCUUCAUCCCCUCAGAGGGGUUGGGGUUGUAGUGCUGAACCACCACACCUGACAUUACUGUUUGGGAAGGUCACCAGCCUUCUCAUACUGAAGGGGAAGAGCCAAGCCUUUGUUGAAAUAUACAUGCAAGAGGUUGCUGACACCACACGUAUCAGUGCCAUGCUGCCAGUCCAACUAUGUCUAGUUCUUCAAGCACAAGGUGCUCAAGACCAAUAGCUCCCCACACAAGGUGCAUGCCAAUCGGGUAAUCUUACAGGUGGUGAAGUCAGUACAUUUGAGAAACCUGGUCUUCAUGGGCUCCAGUGGCCCACAUACACCAAGAUGGUGAUGGUUGACCAGAACACCGAACUCAGGAUCAUCAUGGGAAAAUCUCUGCUACUCAGUGAUCCUGGAUGCUCUGCACCAGGCCUUCUUCAAGUGUGGCACUGUCCUCAGUAUCAUCAUCUUCACUAAGACCAACCAUUUCCAGGCAUACUAUCAGCAGCAGUUGCAACUGCAUCAUCAUUUCAAGUCUGAAGGUGUCAGGGAUUCCAUCUUGCUGGCUGGCAACCUGAACACAAGAAAGCACAGAGCCAAGCCCCUUUAUUCUCUUCAGUAUCUAUGGUUAUGUGAAGCAGGUGAAGAUCUUGUUCAACAAGGCGAAGACAGCAGGUAGGCCCAGCUGGCCAUGAGGCACCCAAACAAACUAUAUGGGGAGCCAAUGCAUAUUACAACAUCAAAGCACCAGAGUGUGCAGCUGCCUUGUGAGGGGCAGGAAGACUGGCUUCACCAAAGACGCUGAUAGCUCACCAGUGCACUGCUUCAAGAAGCUGGGCCCCAAGUUCUUUAAGAAUUUCUUCCUGUUCUCAGCCAUCCGGCAACUCAUCAACAUCCCUUCCUCAGUGUCAGAGCAGUUCCUCAAGAACUUCUCAAGCAACAAGGGCAUGACCAAGGGCUUCAAAUUCUUUCAGGGACUGCAGCCCUGAAUUCAUGCUCUCUGUCCCAUCCAUCAUCCCUACUAGAAGAACUACAUGAUGGUUCUGAUCCAGAUAAGUUUGUUGGAGGAAGAAGUGCAGGCACCCAUUAAGCUGCAAAUCCACGACCAAAGCAUCCCUGAACAAAAAGAAUAAUGCUGGUGGGAUUGUUACUCCAGAAUUCAGGAUAUAUUAUAGAUCUCUAGUAAUGAAAAUAUGGCACUGACAUCAAAGAGACAUGUAUGCCAAUGGGACAAAAUAGAAGACCCAAACAUGAGUACUUGUAACUGCAGCCAUCUGCUAUUUGAUAAAGAGGCAAAAAACAUACCCUGGAGAAAAGACAGAGCAUCUUCAACAAGUGGUGGGUAAAGCUGAAGACUGUAUGGCGACAUGCAGAUGAAUGGAUCGGACUCAUACCUGUCCAAUCAUACCCAACAUUAGAUCCAAGUGUACCAAUGACUUCAAUUUGAAACCUGCAACAUUAAAGCUGCUGGAAGUAAACAUAUGCAGUUUCCUUCAAGAGAUAAAUGAAGGGAAGGACCUUCUCAACAGGACCACAUUUGUUCAGGAAUUAAGGUCAGCAAUUGACAACAGGGACCUCAUAAAACUGAAGAGCUUUUGUGCAGCUAAGGAAAUAAUCAAGUGAAGAGGAAGCCUACAGAAUGGGAGAGGGUCAUUGCCAGCUACACAUCUGUUAGAGGGCUAAUAUCUACAAUAUAUGAGGAACUCAAAGAACAAAGAGUCAAGGAAACAAACAGCCCAAUUAAAAAGUGGGCUGGGGAUGUAGACAAUUUCAACAGAAGAAAUAGAAAGGGCUAAGAAAUACCUCAGAAAAAGUGUCCAACUUCCUUAGCAAUUAGGGUAAUGUAAACUAACCCAACGUUGACAAUUCUUAACGAGACUACUGACAACAAAUGCUGCUGCAGAUAUGUCAGCGGGAAUGUCAACUGGCACAGCCACUCUGAAAGUCCAUAUGGAGGAUCCUCAAAAAGCUAAAAAUAGCUCUACAAAAUAACCCAGCUCUACCCUUCGGCAUAUGCCCAAGGGGUAUCCUCCUCUACAGAUUCUUACCUGACUCUGUUCACUGUUGCUCUAUAGCUAGGAAAUGGAAACAAAUGAGAUGUCUGACAACUGACAAUUGAAUAAUGAAGAAGGUCUAAGAAUCCAGUAGUUAUUCAGUGCCAGAGGCUGGAUAUCUCAGCCGAUCUUCAGAAUAUGUCAGAGCCCUGGCAAAGUAGGCUCUAAUGCUCGUAAAGGGAUGGACUUGCUAACAAGGCGAGAGCAAGCACGCAAGGAAAGAGCAAGCUGCCUUCUUCGAUGUCCUUCCUAUAGGCUUCCAACAGAAGGUGUGGCCCAGGUUAAAGAGAUAAUGUAACUACCACCAGGAAGCCUGUCUCUACUGCAAAUGGAAACCAUCACAGGAAACCACAACUGGGCACACUGCACAGACUGGCAGAUUGGGGGAGCUCAGGCCCACGGACACGUAAAGCUCAGCUCUAUGGCCCAGGAAACACUGAGGAAGAGAGUGGAAAGAUUGUAAGAGCAAGAAUACCUGGAAGCCUGCGAAGUUUCUUCCAGAAAUGGCUGUAUAAAUAAAACCAGAACAAUGCCAAUGUCAAUGGAAAUUUUGACAUAGGAGAGCAAAAUUUUCACUGGACAGAGAACUCUAGGCAACCAAUGAGUCCUGGGAGAAUUAGCCUCUCCCAAGGAUAAGCCCAAAUACUGGUUGUCUGAUGCAGAGUGAUCAGACUAGAGACCAUUUAUACUCAAACAACAAAAGUGGACUCAGUAGCUUGGAUGUAUACACACAUAUACAUAGAUAUGCAUGUAACAAUAAUAACAGAACAAGCCCAUCAACCUGAGAGUAAGGGCUGGAUAGGUAGAGGCUGGAGGGAGGGAAGGCAGAGAGAGAAGCAAGGUGUAAUUCUGCUUUAAUUAAAAACUUAUCAACUGAAA
rnacentral:sRNA from 1 species